GCCGGGAUAGCUCAGUUGGUAGAGCAGAGGACUUG
rnacentral:tRNA from 1 species